rnacentral:tRNA from 1 species
CUCUCGAUAGCUUAGCUGGUAGAGCGUGAGACUGUAAAUCUCAAGGUCGCGUGUUCGACUCACGCUCGGGAGA